rnacentral:tRNA from 1 species
GACGAAGUAGCUCAGUUGGGAUAGCGUGAGACAAUAGAGCGAAAGUCCCCUGUUCAAUCCCGGGCAUCGGCA